rfam:Schistosoma mansoni, Puerto Rico, WGS project CABG01000000 data, contig: 0124
AGCCUUCCAAAUCCACUCCGAGAUUUUGUCAGAUACCAGACUACUAGUGCUGACAAAACUCCUAAGAUAAGGAAAGCG